GUAGCUCAGUGGUAGAGUGCUUGCCUUGUAUGCAUGAGGCCUUGGGUUCAAUUUCUCAGC
rnacentral:tRNA from 1 species